rnacentral:lncRNA from 1 species
GACGACGAUAAAUCAGCUUUGCACAAAAUGAAGAGGAGCGAAGCGCUUAAUAUCGGUAUUUGCCGAGCUUUGAGAACAUCUAAAUUUUUGAAUGGAUGAAAACAUCUUACAAGUUAACAUGCACAGGCUGUCCUGAGAGACUAUUAAAGGAGGAUUGUAAGAGAGGAAUAUGCCAACAAGAACUGCAAUGAGGAGUCGUUGACAGGAGGAAACUUUUUAAAAGAGACCACACACUACCUCAUCAACAUGCUUGAAGAUGAUCUGAGCCUGAAGAGGGACAAAGGGCCUAGUGAUAGACUACCUUUCUGCAAGUAUUGACAAUUCUGCUUUUGUAUGGUGAUAAUUUCAGGGAAUACGUGGUGAUGAGGCAUCAGUGUUGCAAUUAUCUGUUUGUGAGAGAUCAAAGAUGUUUCGCAAGCCAUAGCAAGAAAAAAGAGGUUUUGUGAGAACUUCAACAACCAGAGAUGAGAUUGAGACUACCCAACAACAACUGUGUGAGUGAUCGAUGGGACCCAAGUCUAUACAAGAAUUCCUGGAGGGAAACAAGCCUUGUACUUUCCUGAAGGGCAAGUCCACCCCAACAAAAAGUUUCUUUGAUAUAAUACAGAAAAGUCCAAUGAGCAUAACACUAAACCUUUUAAUCAAAAUUUGAUGUAAAAUGAGAAAGUGUUGACAUUUUGAAGUUUCGCUUAUUUUCACAAAACAGACAUCCUGGUCAGUAUGCAAAUGAGUGACAAAGUGACGUUCUCCACUCAGUGUUUCUUUUUGUAAUAUACUAGUAUCAUGAUUUUUUCCCCCUCAUAAUGUGUAUAAAGUACAGGUGAGAUAUGGUUUGAUUUCUCCCUGAAACUUUUGUAAAAAGCCAUUGUGGCAACCUAUACUCAAUUCGAUGAAGAGUUUUCUCAUAAUUGU